rnacentral:rRNA from 1 species
ACUCAAAGGAAUUGACGGGGGCCCGCACAAGCAGCGGAGCGUGUGGUUUAAUUCGACGCAACACGCAGAACCUUACCCAGAUUGGACAUGCAGCUGCAACCAGGGGAAACCCUGGUGCCUUCGAGGGUGCUGCACAGGUGCUGCAUGGCUGUCGUCAGCUCGUGUCGUGAGAUGUUGGGUUAAGUCCCGCAACGAGCGCAACCCUUGUCCCGUGUUACCUGUGUCACGGGGGACUGCCGUGGUGUUACCACGGAGGAAGGCGGGGAUGACGUCAAGUCCGCAUGGCCCUUACGUCUGGGGCGACACACACGCUACAAUGGCCGGAGGAAUGCGCCGCGACUCCGCAAGGGGAAGCUAAUCGCGAAGACCGGUCGCAGUGCAGAUUGGGGGCUGCAACUCGCCCCCAUGAAGGCGGAGUUGCUAGUAACCGCGUGACAGCAGAGCGCGGUGAAUACGUACCCGGGCCUUGCACACACCGCCCGU